rnacentral:rRNA from 1 species
UACGGGAGGCAGCACUGGGGAAUAUUGCACAAUGGGCGCAAGCCUGAUGCAGCCAUGCCGCGUGUAUGAAGAAGGCCUUCGGGUUGUAAAGUACUUUCAGUCGUGAGGAAGGUGUUAAGGUUAAUAACCUUAGCAAUUGACGUUAGCGACAGAAGAAGCACCGGCUAACUCCGUGCCAGCAGCCGCGGUAAUACGGAGGGUGCGAGCGUUAAUCGGAAUUACUGGGCGUAAAGGGCACGCAGGCGGUUAAUUAAGUUGGAUGUGAAAUCCCCGGGCUUAACCUGGGAAUGGCAUUCAAGACUGGUUAGCUAGAGUCUUGUAGAGGGGGUAGAAUUCCAUGUGUAGCGGUGAAAUGCGUAGAGAUGUGGAGGAAUACCGGUGGCGAAGGCGGCCCCUGGACAAAGACUGACGCUCAUGUGCGAAAGCGUGGGGAGCAAAC